GACGAACGCUGGCGGCGUGCCUAAUACAUGCAAGUCGAGCGAAGUUCUUCUGGUGCUUGCACUAGAAAAACUUAGCGGCGAACGGGUGAGUAACACGUAAAGAACCUGCCUCAUAGACUGGGACAACUAUUGGAAACGAUAGCUAAUACCGGAUAACAGUAUUUCUCGCAUGAGAGAUAUUUAAAAGUUGGUUAUGCUAACACUAUGAGAUGGCUUUGCGGUGCAUUAGCUAGUUGGUGGGGUAAAGGCCCACCAAGGCGACGAUGCAUAGCCGACCUGAGAGGGUGAUCGGCCACACUGGGACUGAGACACGGCCCAGACUCCUACGGGAGGCAGCAGUAGGGAAUCUUCCGCAAUGGGCGAAAGCCUGACGGAGCAACGCCGCGUGAGUGAAGAAGGAUUUCGGUUCGUAAAGCUCUGUUGUUAGGGAAGAAUGGAUAUGUAGUAACUAUACAUGUAAGAGACGGUACCUAACCAGAAAGCCACGGCUAACUACGUG
rnacentral:rRNA from 1 species